CCGCGCCAGGAAGGGACGCCCUUGGUUCCGAGCUCGCAGUAGGCAACCAACCGAGGCCGACGCUCUACGACGUACCCGAGACUCGAUCGAUCACAAGGUGCCGAGGGAAGGAAAACUCGACGAGGGAAGAGGACACGGCGAUGUUCCCGGGUCGACCGAUCGGCGACAGCAACUUUUUUUAAUGGGAAAAGGGAGAACUUCCAGGUUCCUGGAUUGAUCUUGGAAACGAUCUCGUUUUCCCCUGGAGUAUAUCUAGGAAUGGAAAUUCAAACAAGAGGAAACUCCGCGACGCCGCUCUCGAGCUGGGUCGAUCAGGAGUGCGACUGGAUCCUCUUUUAAUCGGAAAAAGAGAGGAGUCCUUAAUUUAAGGAUUAAUCCGAGAAAUAAUCUCACCCCCGGAGUGCCGGUGAAGAAAAUUCAAACGAGAAGGAAAUCGAGAGGCCGUCGUGCCCGACGUCGCGACGCGGCUCUUGGGCGCGAUCGAUCACGAGUGCGGCUGGUUCUCUCUUUAUCAGGGGAAAAAAGGCAAUUCCUGGAUUAACAAUUAAUCCGAGAAAUGAUCUCGCUUACUUGCAGGGUGCCGGAGCGCCACGCGAGGAAACCAGCGCGGCCGACGUAAGUCGACUUCAGGGUUUCGUUCACGUAUAUCGCUCGAUCGAUCGCGAGAACCAGCCGAUCCCUUCGUCGAGGGAAAAGGAGCCCCGGCGGAGUGGUGAAAAAAUCCGCAGGCGAGAGAAGUAUUAGGGCCGACCCGGGAGCGACGUCUAACUAGGAGACGCCGGGAGACGCCGAUACACGAGCAUCGAUGCACCAGCUACGUAUCCGUCGUACUACAUCAGCUACGUAUCCAUCCGCGUGAAUUCGAGAGAGCGGACGGCAGCUCUCCGGCUGGAGACGACGUAAGGAGGCGAGCCACGUAUCACCGAUAUUUCUGAAACGUAAAACGGCGAAUGCCGCUUACGCCCCCGGAAUGGAAUAACGCGAGAUCUACGGAGGAGGCGAGGCGGAGAACGACGAGGAGGAAGAGGAAGAGGAAGAGGAAGGAGGGAGGAGAAAGAGGAGGAGGACGUCGAGCCUCGGCACGACUUUCAUCGAGUCCCGUGGCAAUGAGAAACGAGCGGCCUCGGAUGAGACCCCUUAUAAUCCGUUCCCCCGAAAUGCAACGACGGUAUUAUCCCGUGCACCUGCAGAGGACGCGCAUGGCUUCUUAUUUAGAAUAUCGGGUGGAUACUAAUCGCUCAACGCGUUAACAAUGACGGGUCGUUCCAAGCUGGAUGCAACGACGUCUCACCCCGAAACGCCGUCCCGAGAUUCGUAUAUUAAUCUCGCUACCGAAUUUUUUGAUAAUCGGUGAAAUGAAGGCACAUCUCGGCCUGUACUUGGCUUGAAACUCUACCUAGUUUCUGCGGGUCUACUGCGUAAAGCCAAUUGAGAGAAAAUGUGGAAAAUGAGUAUCUCACAAUAUUACGGAACGUUUUUGAUGGUGAAUAUGCGAGACCAUUCAUAUGAACUUUCUCGGCACAAAUUUUUAACCGAAAUGGUG